rnacentral:ncRNA from 1 species
GUAACAUUGUAUUACACAACAGCUAGUGAACUGCGCUCGCGUAGAUUGAUGCCAAAGGAAAGGCUAGUACAGUACCGGAGCAAUUUUUACGUGUAAAUCGAUCGUCGAAUUUGAGAAUAGGGUUCGAAAUUCUAUUCAAACGAUCUAGCAGUAAGUUCCCUCAGAAGUAUCCCUCAAGAUAGCUGGCACUCAUUUGCCUGGUCUGUUUUAUCGGUAAAGCGUAUGACUAGAGGUUCGAAACUAGCGUGGCUCGCUUUAGAGUGGCCAGGCACUAAAUGUGCCAGUGCCAAGUGGCCAUCUUUCGUAAUCGGAACUGGCACUGUUGGAUUAAUCAAACACAAGGGGCCUUCACUGUGAUGUUAUAAUUUUCGCUUAUGACAGAAAAUGUUGGAUCAUUGGUC